rnacentral:rRNA from 1 species
UACGGAGGAUGCAAGCGUUAUCCGGAAUCAUUGGGCGUAAAGCGUCCGCAGGUGGUUAUUCAAGUCUGCCGUUAAAGCGCGUGGCUCAACCACGUAUAGGCGGUGGAAACUGCAUGACUAGAGUGCGGUAGGGGUAGAGGGAAUUCCCGGUGUAGCGGUGAAAUGCGUAGAGAUCGGGAAGAACACCAGUGGCGAAAGCGCUCUACUGGACCUGCACUGACACUGAGGGACGAAAGCUAGGGGAGCGAAAGGG